GAGUUUGUUUUCAACUCUCAUUGUUCUCCAAGGACUGGUUAGACUUAUCAAGUAACCCUUGUGGCGUCAACCCGUUUUUGUAUUUCGAACUUAUCACUUUGCACCCAAAGUGUGGCGUUCAAAGUUAUACCGAGGUUCCUAUCAUCUUUGAUAGUGGGUCGAGGUUCCAUUUUAUUCGUUUUCCAUCCAUACAACAUUUAACCUUUCCUAAGUAUUCGUAUAAGUCCUGGGUUAACACACUUAUAUUGUGUUGGUUCAACUUGAAUACUUGGUUUUCAUUCACCUAUCAACCUCAAUACAUUCCAUAACCCCUUUUGAACUAAAUUUGAGCCUUUAUCUCUUCUUUCUUAACCUAUUUCGUCCACCCUCGAGUAUUACUCCAAUUCACGAUCGGGCACAUUUACGACUCGACUCUCCUUCCCGAGUCGAGGCAAAUCACAAAUGGGUUGAAUUUUUAGAGUCUUUUCCAUACGUGAUCAAAUACAAACAAGGUAAGGAAAACAUUAUGGCUGAUGCGUUUUCACGGAGGUACGCUCUUAUAAAUUGCUUGGAUGCUAAAUUGCUUGGUUUUGUUCAUUUAAAAGAUUUCUAUGCUAACAAUUCUGACUUUGGAGAGAUUUAUAAGUUGUGUGUGCAAGGAGAAAUUGACAAAUAUUUCCAGCAAGAUGGAGUUCCUUUUCGUGGAAAUAAGCUAUGUAUACCCCAAGGAUCCACUAGAGAUGUGUUGAUCCAUGAAGCACAUAGUGGGGGUGAUACGAACCCAAGCCUAAGGGAGGCCUUUGAGAGCCCGCAAGCCCAAGAUGAUGUCCAAGCCAUCUUCCCUCUUCCUACGGGCCCAAUAACCAAUUCUAGAGCCCAAAAACUCAAGCAGGCCUUGGCAAUACUUCUUUCACAAGCUUGGGCCGAAUGUGAAGCAAAGGCCCAAGGAGAAGAAGUUUUAAGCCCAUAUAAUUUAUUCUUAGUGAUAAUUAAAACUUAAAUCCGUUUUGGUAUUUUGGGCCUAUUUAAAAUUCGUUUUUGUUGAUUGUUUUGGGCCUAAUUAAUUAAAGUAUUUAGUGUUUCUAUAUUUUAAAUUAAGUCAUAAGCAUGUUUAGGUUAUUACAUAUUUAUUAGUAUGUUUUAAAUGUGUUUUCAUUAUAUAUUUAAUAAGGUGUUAAUAUGCCUUAACUAUUACAUAGAUUUCGUGUGUUUAAUUUAUCUUAGAUUGUGAACUAAUUUGGGUUUUAAUGUGUCCUAGGUAAGCUUUAAAGUGGACGGUUGCAAGGGGGAGUAUGUGUCCAUUCGGCCACCACCAUAAUCACCCAUUCAUGCAUUCCCAAGAUGAUCAUUCAAGUGGACAGCAAAAGGGCCGAAUCAUACAUAAGUACUCAAGGAACAUUCAAGGUGGUGCAUGUUCUUCCAUAAUUACAUUCCAUGAAUCCUAUGAGCCCGUUCGAGUUUCUAGGUGACCAUUCAUGAUACAAAGUCUUUCAUGGCCGAAUUUGACCUUUGGAAUUGUGACCAUUCGGCCAUACAAAGCAUCCAUCCGUCCAAGGCAUUAAAAUCAAGUCUUUUGGCCAUUGAGCUACUCCAAGGUGCAUGGAUGAACAUCAAGCUUCAAGUUGUCUUCUUGGUUUCAUCAAAGGUCCUUCUAGAAGCCAUUAAUGUCCAAGCUAUCCAUGUAUCAUCUUUAAGACAUUUUGACCAUUCAUGUACUCAUCUUGGCCUAUAUAUUUUCGGCCAUUUGGACUGUUUAAGGCUAAUGAACAUUUUAUAUUUUGUGAGA
rnacentral:lncRNA from 1 species